GAGUUUGAUCCUGGCUCAGAAUGAACGCUGGCGGCAUGCCUAACACAUGCAAGUCGAACGAAGGCUUCGGCCUUAGUGGCGCACGGGUGCGUAACGCGUGGGAAUCUGCCCUCAGGUUCGGAAUAACAGCGAGAAAUUGCUGCUAAUACCGGAUGAUAUCGUAAGAUCAAAGAUUUAUCGCCUGGGGAUGAGCCCGCGUAGGAUUAGCUAGUUGGUGUGGUAAAGGCGCACCAAGGCGACGAUUCUUAGCUGGUCUGAGAGGAUGAUCAGCCACACUGGGACUGAGACACGGCCCAGACUCCUACGGGAGGCAGCAGUGGGGAAUAUUGGACAAUGGGCGAAAGCUUGAUCCAGCAAUGCCGCGUGAGUGAUGAAGGCCUUAGGGUUGUAAAGCUCUUUUACCCGGGAUGAUAAUGACAGUACCGGGAGAAUAAGA
rnacentral:rRNA from 1 species